AUGGGAGACGAAUGUUCAAACCGAAGCCUGGACGCACGCUUCAGGGGGAUCACGAGAGCCCGAGGCAACAGUCUGCGAAUGAGGCCAGCACCGGCGUUCCUCUAGUUUUAAAAGCACACGUGGGGCCAGAGACUGCACAGCCAACUAAACGGAGUAAACGCAACAGGUGGAGGAGGCAGAGUUGUUAGGGGCGAAGCCCGGCGCGAUCUGGCCAGAGCCUGAGGGAGCACAGACCUGGGACUGCAAAGAGACGUUUUGAAGCGUGCUGCGCGCACCUGCUUCUCGGAGACAUCCGACUCCACCCGAGCAUCUCCGGAGAGCGCACAGACCAUAGAUGCAUGGAGGGCUGCCCCCCAAGACACGUCCUCUCCCGACCCCUCACUCUUUCAAAAUUGCGGGAGAGGCGGAGAGGAUGGAAAAGAAGAGAGAAAGAAUGACAAGCAAAAAAAAAAAAAAAAAAAGAAAGAAAGAAAGAAAAGAAAAAAAGGGGGGGAAAAGCCGCCCGGUAGCCCCAGGACGUCCCGAAAACUGUUCUGAGGGAUGGGUCGGGAAAGACCUUGGAAAACUGGUCUGCCCACCCUCGAGUCCUCCGGCGCCCUCGCUGGGAAGCAGAAAGUCGCACCGCACACUGAGCCUUUCUUCGAGCGCCCUGCCGGGAGCUGCCGAGACCCGGCACGCAGCCUUGGGCACCUGGUGGUCUGCGAAGAAACCUGCCCUGUUGCGCUGCUUGGGCCGCAUUAGCGGAGACCAGAGUGCCUGUGGCAGUGGCCUGCGAGCACCACCCGCCAGGGUUUAG